GGAUAAAGCAAACUUUGGGAAAGAAGUAUAAAAUAAAUAUUAAUCCAUUUUUUAUGUUAAAACCCAGUUAUCUUUUUUUUUCUCUGAAUUUGAAGGAGUUCUUUGACCUAUUCUGAAUGGAGUGUCCAACGCCAUUAUUGUGGGUGAUUGAGACUCAUCCGUAUGAACUAUUCACCUUCGUACCUCCCGUUUACAACUCAGCAUUGCUGGAAGAGCUGAACAGCCGCAUGGAUCAUUUUUCAAUUAUAGAAAAACAAAUUCUAAGCCUGAGAGAAAAAGUGCAUGAGAAAGAAAGGGAGGAAUAUAGCUGCUAGCAG
rnacentral:lncRNA from 1 species